CCAGUUUUCCUGUUUGGGAAUAUGACAGCUUUUGUCAUUCUCAUCAAACCAGGAUGAAUCGCGAUGUAAGAUGCUUCAUUUUGAUACAUAAAGUAGUGGAGAAUCACCAGGAAGCUGAAUAAAUCUCAUAGGAGUUAGGAUGAAGAAGCUAUCCCACUUUCAAAUCAGGUGAUCCCAGUUUUCCUGUUUGGGAAUAUGACAGCUUCUUUGUCAUUCUAAUCAAACCAGGAUGAAUCGCGAUGUAAGAAGCUUGAUUUUGAUACAUAAAGUAGUGGCGAAUCACCAGGAAGCUGAAUAAAUCUCAUAGGAUUUAGGAUGAAGAAGCUUAUCCCACUUUCAAAUCAGGUGAUCCAGUUUUUCCUGUUUG